ACUCAAAUGAAUUGACGGGGGCCCGCACAAGCGGCGGAGCAUGUGGCUUAAUUCGAUGCAACGCGAAGAACCUUACCAAGGCUUGACAUGCGCAGGAAGUCGGCAGAGAUGCCGGUGCCUUCGGGUCUGCGUGCAGGUGGUGCAUGGUUGUCGUCAGCUCGUGUCGUGAGAUGUUGGGUUAAGUCCCGCAACGAGCGCAACCCUCGUUCUGUGUUGCCAGCGCGUGAUGGCGGGGACUCACAGGAGACUGCCGGGGUCAACUCGGAGGAAGGUGGGGAUGAGGUCAAAUCAUCAUGCCCCUUAUGUCUUGGGCUGCACACAUGCUACAAUGGCCGGUACAAAGGGCUGCGAUACCGCGAGGUGGAGCGAAUCCCGGAAAGCCGGUCUCAGUUCGGAUUGGGGUCUGCAACUCGACCCCAUGAAGUCGGAGUCGCUAGUAAUCGCAGAUCAGCAACGCUGCGGUGAAUACGUUCCCGGGCCUUGUACACACCGCCCGU
rnacentral:rRNA from 1 species